AGCAGGUACUGGAGGUCCGAACCCACUAAUGUUGAAAAAUUAGGGGAUGAGCUGUGGAUAGGGGUGAAAGGCUAAACAAAUCCGGAAAUAGCUGGUUCUCCCCGAAAACUAUUUAGGUAGUGCGUCAUGUAUCACUUGCGGGGGUAAAGCACUGUUAUGGCUAGGGGGUCAUCGCGACUUACCAAACCAUGGCAAACUCUGAAUACCGCAAAGUGCGAGCAUGGCAGACAGACAGUGGGUGCUAACGUCCAUUGUCAAGAGGGAAACAACCCAGACCGCCAGCUAAGGUCCCCAAGACACAGUUAAGUGGGAAACGAAGUGGGAAGGCAUAGACAGCUAGGAGGUUGGCUUAGAAGCAGCCAUCCUUUAAAGAAAGCGUAAUAGCUCACUAGUCGAGUCGUCCUGCGCGGAAGAUGUAACGGGGCUCAAACUGUGCACCGAAGCUGCGGAUAUCGAAAGAUAUGGUAGGGGAGCGUUCUGUAGGUCUGUGAAGGUGUCUUGUAAAGGAUGCUGGAGAUAUCAGAAGUGCGAAUGCUGACAUGAGUAGCGAUAAAGGGCGUGAAAAGCGCCCUCACCGAAAGCCCAAGGUUUCCUACGCAACGUUCAUCGGCGUAGGGUGAGUCGGCUCCUAAGGCGAGGCAGAAAUGCGUAGUCGAUGGGAAACAGGUCAAUAUUCCUGUACCGAUUCUAGAUGCGAUGUGGGGACGGAGAAGGUUAGGUCAGCCGGGUGUUGGACGUCCCGGUUUAAGCGUGUAGGCGUGCCCCUUAGGCAAAUCCGGGGGGCUGAGCUGAGGCGUGACGACGAGGAACCACGGUUCCGAAGCGAUUGAUACCAAGCUUCCAGGAAAAGCCACUAAGCUUCAGUCUAGAGUUGACCGUACCGCAAACCGACACAGGUGGGCAGGAUGAAAAUUCUAAGGCGCUUGAGAGAACUCAGGAGAAGGAACUCGGCAAAUUAACACCGUAACUUCGGGAGAAGGUGUGCCCCGGUAGCGUGUAGAGACUUGCUCUCGAAGCGCGAUGGGGUUGCAGUGAAAUGGUGGCUGCGACUGUUUAAUAAAAACACAGCACUCUGCAAACACGAAAGUGGACGUAUAGGGUGUGACGCCUGCCCGGUGCCGGAAGGUUAAGUGAUGGGGUGCAAGCUCUUGAUCGAAGCCCCGGUAAACGGCGGCCGUAACAAUAACGGUCCUAAGGUAGCGAAAUUCCUUGUCGGGUAAGUUCCGACCUGCACGAAUGGCGUAACGAUGGCCACACUGUCUCCUCCUGGGACUCAGCGAAGUUGAAAUGUUUGUGAAGAUGCAAUCUACCCGCGGCUAGACGGAAAGACCCCAUGAACCUUUACCGUAGCUUUGCAUUGGACUUUGAACC
rnacentral:rRNA from 1 species